GACGAACGCUGGCGGCGUGCUUAACACAUGCAAGUCGAACGGUGAAGCACCUUCCUUUUGGUGGGUGUGGAUGAGUGGCGAACGGGUGAGUAACACGUGAGUAACCUACCCCCUUCUUCUGGAUAACCGCAUGAAAGUGUGGCUAAUACGGGAUAUUCUGGGUCUGUCGCAUGGCGGGCCUGGGAAAGAUAUUGUUUCGGUGGGGGAUGGGCUCGCGGUCUAUCAGCUUGUUGGUGGGGUGAUGGCCUACCAAGGCGGUGACGGGUAGCCGGCCUGAGAGGGUGGACGGUCACACUGGGACUGAGACACGGCCCAGACUCCUACGGGAGGCAGCAGUGGGGAAUAUUGCACAAUGGGCGCAAGCCUGAUGCAGCGACGCCGCGUGAGGGAUGGAGGCCUUCGGGUUGUAAACCUCUUUCGCCAGUGAAGCAGGCCUGUCCCUUUUGUGGGUGGGUUGACGGUAGCUGGAUAAGAAGCGCCGGCUAACUACGUG
rnacentral:rRNA from 1 species